GACAGAGGGUGCAAACGUUGCUCGGAAUCACUGGGCGUAAAGGGCGCGUAGGCGGCGCGGAUAGUCGGCGGUGAAAGCCCGGAGCUCAACUCCGGGUCGGCCGUCGAUACUUCCGGGCUUGAGCACUGUAGAGGCAGAUGGAAUUCCGGGUGUAGCGGUGGAAUGCGUAGAGAUCCGGAAGAACACCGGUGGCGAAGGCGGUCUGCUGGGCAGUUGCUGACGCUGAUGCGCGACAGCGUGGGGAGCAAACAGG
rnacentral:rRNA from 1 species